GAUAUCUUGUUUAGGCGAGUCUAUACCGUUUGAAGAUUUGUUUAGGGUUCUUGUAUCAACGACGCGCAUACAUGCGUAUAUACUAACAGUGAAUAACCGCUAUGUAUACAGAUAAUUGAACCUCGCUAUUGGAAACAUGGGUUGUAUGCAUGUGCAGUGAGUGUCGUCCCAGAUUGACAUGGGUGGUCCGCAAUUCGGCACCAACUCCCAGGAACGGCACUUUCCGCCUACACUGGAUUUUCGCUCAAGAGACACUUUAUUAUAACGAAAUAUAAAAUAAAAGCGGAAAGUUCCCUGCCUUCCAGCUUGUGCGGACUACACUGGUUAAUCUGGUCACUACUGAGAUCGUUCGGCAACAAGGACGAAGCGUUCGCCGCCAUUACGGAUCUUCAGUAGAAGCACGAUAUGCUGCGUCUCCGGACAAAGGGCUCCACCCCGGGGAAGCCGGCGACCCGACGGCAACGUCCUCGUCGGCGCUCCUGUAUACCACGAUCGCUCGGAAACUGUUACUGGCUAUGGCUUAGCAACUGUACAGCAUGGGCCUUUUUCCAGGCGUAUCCACCGGUCUAAAUCUUACGUCGCAAUGUAGGGAGACUCGCACAAACGUUUAUAAAUCAAACUGUUUAGGUGACAAUUCGUACCGAAAUAUUCAAAAAGGUGCUAAAACGAUCGAGUGGAGCAUUUUUCCCACACGGAUGCAAUACGUUUAACUAUGGCGGAUAGUCAUUUUAGACUGCCAUAUACCCGAAAAUUCCAUUUACGUCGGAAAAUUGUGUAUAUGCAAGAAAGUAACGGCAGUGCUUACAGAAAACGCAAACACGUGGAUGUGGACGCAAGUGGUUCUCUGGACUUGUCUAUGAAGAAACCGUAUUUUGAAACAACCAGUUUGCCACAAAGCAGUACAACAGCGUCUGUUGACCGUCCAUUGGAUUUUUCAGUAAGACGCUUGGCGCAUGAGCGAUUACAUGCGCAUGCGCAUUCUGGUUUCUUACCAUAUACUGGUACUUUCAGCCCAGGAUACUCUCAAGCGCAGGCGAUGUACGAAAAACAGAUACAAUUUCAGCCGCAAAGAUGCACUGUCCGAAAAAUCGUUCCCGUACGUCAGAAGGUGAAAUUUACAUGUAUUUUAAUACAUUGGUUUGACAUAUAUUUCGAUGUCCUUUAGUAUGUCUAAAUAUUUGUUUUGGACAGUGCGUUAUGGAAUUUUAUUCGCCGUAUAUACAUACAACGUUAUUUCACAGUUGUGUCCGUAGAAAUUAUUUCCCGGCUUAUCUUUUUAAAACGUUAAAAGGCAUACUGGUCAUAUGCUGCCCUUUAUGACGUCACAGCACAUCACACGAAAGCUCGGCAUGCGGGUCGGGCCAGUACAUCGAUUGUACUUUUAUUGAUGUUACACAAUAUGUUUGUUAUAAAUAUGCACCCAUGUUCAUCCAUGUAACUGUUCGUUUGCUACCAGGUAGAAAAACGGUUUAGUCUUGUUUAAAGUUCCAUACUUUUCUGACUGUCAUACUUCCUGUUAAAGGGGCCUUUUCACAGAUUUUGGCAUUUUUUAACUUAAUUAUUAAAUGCUUUAUAUUGAUAAAUGUAAACAUUGGAUCGUAAAAGCUCCAGUAAAAAAUCAAGAAUAAAAUUAAAAAAAGGAAAAGAACAUUGCCCGGAGCAGGUUUCGAACCAGUGACCCCUGGAGUCCUGCCAGAGUCCUGAAGUAAAAACGCUCUAGCCUACUGAGCUAUUCCGCCGAGUACACAUGCUUGACGUAUUUUAUACCUUAUAUAAGCAAUCUUCGUAGUUUCACAAAAUUUAACGACAAAAACAGAACUCUCCAAAUUAUUCAAUCGUUUUGCGUUGCAACGCUUUAUAAUUUUUAGGUUUUAAAAUCGUCAAAAGAUGCAUAUGAUGGCUAUAUUAGACCAUUGUAAAUGUUCAGUAUUACUGUUUCCUCACAAAUAUCAUAACUAAAACGAAAAAGUGCGAAUCUGAAACAACUUUUUUCAAUUUUGUCAAUUUACCAAAGCGUGAAAAGAUCCCUUUAAGAUGGAAUAUCAGUAUAACGUUGCCAGCAGCUUGUUUGAUGACGUUUCCGCAAGAAAGCUGUAUAUACAACAUCAGUUAAGCAUAGACAUAUUGAGCGUUGAUGAAUAUUGCUAUUAAAGCCAGUUGAAAAACUGUCUUAUUCACGUAUUAAAAAACAUGAAUUCUUGUUUCGAAAUCGUUGACUGGAUCAUAUGAUCUGUAAUUUUUAGGGAUGUCAACGAAUAUCCGAAUAUCCGAAUAUUCGGUCCCGGGCCGAAUAUUCGGAUACUGUUUUCCGAAUCGAAUAUUCGGAAGAAAAAAUAAAAAAUCGAGUAAUUUCAAAGACUUUGUAUUCGUAAAAUUUGCUUCAAACAUUGUCAAAAAGUUGUUCCCCGUGUCAUAAUGUUUAUUCCGGUUGGCGCGAUAAUGCGUCGCUAUGGUGAUGACAGUAUACCGGUCAUAAAUCCCGCUAACAAAGCCAGACACUUUGUGUCAAAAUUAUGAUAGGUGCAAAUCGCGUCUGCAAUCAAAACACCGACCUGCACUUGAUCCAAUGACUCGAAUUACAUUUAAAAUUAUCAAAGAUUAAAUGAGUAAAGGAAAAGCCAACUUUGUGUAAAAAACAAAUAAGACCGUAUGGCAAUUAAAACACCGACCCGUCUUGAUCUAAUAACUCGAAUUACAUUUAAAAUGAUCAAAGAUUAAAUGAGUAAAGAAAGAGCCGACUUGGUGUGAAAAACAAAACAGAUGGUAUGGUUAUAAUCACGUUGUCCAAUCAAAAAAGCUUUUAGAAAAUAAUUUACUCAACCUCUAAUGAGUAUUUGAGUAUCGUAUGGUUCAAACAUUAAUUUAUUACUCAAUAUUCAAUCAGGUAUUAUACUUAAAGAAAUGUUUUUGGUACUGCACCCUAUUUUAAUUGAAAAUAUUAUAAUUGUUACACGCAUAAAGUAAAUAUCUGUCCAAGCAAAAUGCCACAUACGCCUUCCGCUGCUUGGAAGUAUUUCACGACAUCAUCCGAUAAGAAGUCGCCGAUCCAAGUGUCUUUUAAACGUGGCAACUUUAAAAGACUGACUGUUUAGUCUGUUUAACAGGUUCAAAGUGUGUUGUGGCUAUGUAUAUAAUUCGUUUAAGUUCAGCUUUAAUUAUAUGUAGAUAUAACUGUUUCGUCAUGUAAUUAUUUUGUCGUCAUGUAAUAUUAUAUUUCUCGUUCUAUUGUUGAUGUACGAUAUUAAUAGUUUAAAAACAGUUUUUGUCAUUCAAUUUUAACAAUAAAAACAUAAAAAAGUAAUCAACAAAAUCAGCUUCGAAUUAGCGACGGCAACGCUGUGUCAAUAUUUAGUCACUUCCGGUGAACUUCCGGUAAAAACGAAAGUAGAAUUCAUGGAGUAAUGGUACGGUAAACUAAGUUGACUUUUUUCCAACAGAUGUUGACCGAAUAUCCGAAUAUUCGUUCGGAAGGGUGACCGAAUAUUCGAAUACCGAAAUCGGUAUUCGUUGCCAUCCCUAGUAAUUUUACUCACGUAAACUGUAACCGUUCUAAGCGUUUCAUAUCUAUUGUUCGUUUAGGAAAUCGCGUCAUAGUGACUGUUGUUACCAUUCUAUAAUUUUUAUUUCCAUAUUCAAAUGCAAUCGAACUCCAGCAAGCUUAAGUGUGAUGGUAUUGUUACCGAUAUAUUUAAUCUUUACAUAUGCUCACAGGCUACAUUGAUUUACACGUUUAUUAGUGUUUUUUCUCUUCAUUUUAUCACUUCUUGUAUCAUGCUUUAUUGUCGUCAUGGUGACAUUAAUAUGCUGUGCGUAAACUAUAUGAUCUGUCGAGAUAUGAUACAAUAAAAGUUUCUUACAUGUUCAA